rnacentral:rRNA from 1 species
AGGAUGAACGCUGGCGGUCUGCUUAACACAUGCAAGUCGAACGGAGUAGCAAUACUUAGUGGCGGACGGGUGAGUAACGCGUGAGAAUCUACCUUCAGGACGGAGACAACAGUUGGAAACGACUGCUAACCCCCGAUGUACUGAAAAAGGCAAAUAUUUAUAGCCUGAAGAAGAGCUCGCGUCCGAUUAGCUAGUUGGAGAGGUAAAAGCUCACCAAGGCGACGAUCGGUAGCUGGUCUGAGAGGACGAUCAGCCACACUGGGACUGAGACACGGCCCAGACUCCUACGGGAGGCAGCAGUGGGGAAUUUUCCGCAAUGGGCGAAAGCCUGACGGAGCAAGACCGCGUGGGGGAAGAAGGCUCGUUGGGUUGUAAACCCCUUUUCUCUGGGAAGAACACAAUGACGGUACCAGAGGAAUCAGCAUCGGCUAACUCCGUGCCAGCAGCCGC